rnacentral:rRNA from 1 species
GUGAAAUUGUUGAAAGGGAAACGAUUAAAGUCAGUCGUACCUACGAGUGAUCAACCUACUCGAGUGCGAUUUUGUGGGUAUGUUUGAGCUUAAAAACCUUCAUGCUUACAAAUUGGUGCUCUUUGGGCGUACUUUCCCGGUGGUAGGUUAACAUCAAUUUCGGUCGUCAUAAAAUGACGGGAGGCAUGUAGCUUUGGUCUCGUACUGAAGUGUUAUAGACUCUAGUAGAUGUGAUGACCGUGAUUGAGGAUGGCAACGGAUACCCUCUGGGCUACCCGCCUGAUCUCUGAUGGUUGCUCUGGUACCGAAAGCGUGCUUACGGUCAUCAAAGUUGAUUGUCAAAAGGUUAGAACGGGUUAAAUUCGUUAAGGAUGUUGACGUAAUGGCUUUAAACGAC